rnacentral:rRNA from 1 species
UACAGAGGGUGCGAACGUUGCUCGGAAUUACUGGGCGUAAAGCGCAUGUAGGCGGAUCCAUAAGUCGGGCGUGAAAUCCCCAGGCUCAACCUGGGAACUGCGCUCGAAACUGUGGGUCUUGAGUGUUGGAGAGGAUGGCGGAAUUCCUGGUGUAGAGGUGAAAUUCGUAGAUAUCAGGAGGAACACCUGUGGCGAAAGCGGCGCACUGGACCACAACUGACGCUGGAGGCGCGAAAGCUAGGGGAGCAAACAGG